GCCCGGGCCCGCCGACUUCGUCAAGUCGAGAUGCUCGUCGUCUCCCUCCCUCAGAACUUCCCUCGUCCUCAAACACAGGGAAGGAAGAACUUGGAGAAUGUUCCUGAGAGUUUGUGACAACGUUCAUGAAGACAAAGAAAAGACAGGAAAAAAUGUUUGUAGGUAUUUCUACCAGUCCAGUGCUUUCAAACAUCAGAUGUUCUACUGGCUCAUCAAUCCAGUUGAAGCUACUGGAGCAUGUAAAUGCCACUGCACCUGCUCCUCUGCUCAUUGCUAUAAGGAUGCUCUUCAGCAUAGCCUAAUAAAUAUUUUGGUCUCUCUAUUCUGAUGUUACUAAGGAGAAAAACUACUUCCUGCAGAAUCUUACUCCCCUAUCUACUCAUAUAGAUCCAGGUGAUGUAAAGAUCAUGGAUGUAACAAGUAAAAUGAUGAUCAGAGAAACUGCUUCCAUGGGGAACUGGAAGAGAAAAAACUUCCCCAGUGAAAAAAGGGUUACCCAGAGAUGUCAUGUACUUCCUCUCAUACUGUGUAUUUGCCAAGCUGUACAGACACAGAAAGGCAAUGAUAAUAGUAGGUCUAUG
rnacentral:lncRNA from 7 species